rnacentral:rRNA from 1 species
AGCGAACGCUGGCGGCAGGCCUAACACAUGCAAGUCGAACGGACCCUUCGGGGUUAGUGGCGGACGGGUGAGUAACACGUGGGAACGUGCCUUUAGGUUCGGAAUAGCUCCUGGAAACGGGUGGUAAUGCCGAAUGUGCCCUUCGGGGGAAAGAUUUAUCGCCUUUAGAGCGGCCCGCGUCUGAUUAGCUAGUUGGUGGUGUAACGGACCACCAAGGCGACGAUCAGUAGCUGGUCUGAGAGGAUGAUCAGCCACAUUGGGACUGAGACACGGCCCAAACUCCUACGGGAGGCAGCAGUGGGGAAUCUUGCGCAAUGGGCGAAAGCCUGACGCAGCCAUGCCGCGUGAAUGAUGAAGGUCUUAGGAUUGUAAAAUUCUUUCACCGGGGACGAUAAUGGCGGUACCCGGAGAAGAAGCCCCGGCUAACUUCGUGCCAGCAGCCGCGGUAACAC